rnacentral:rRNA from 1 species
CCUACGGGUGGCAGCAGUAGGGAAUCUUUCACAAUGGGCGAAAGCCUGAUGGAGCAACGCCGCGUGCAGGAUGAAGGCCCUCGGGUUGUAAACUGCUUUUAUAAGCGAGAAAUAUGAUGGUAACUUAUGAAUAAGGUUCGGCUAACUACGUGCCAGCAGCCGCGGUCAUACGUAGGAUCCGGGCAUUAUCCGGAGUGACUGGGUGUAAAGAGUUGCGUAGGUGGCAUAAUAAGUAGCUAGUGGAAUCUGGUGGCGCAACCAUUCAGACUAUUAGCUAAACUGUUAAGCUCGAGAACGUUAGGGGUAACUGGAAUUUGUAGUGUAGGAGUGAAAUCCGUAGAUAUUAGAAGGAACACCGAUAGCGUAGGCAGGUUACCGGGACGGUUCUGACACUAAGGCACGAAAGCGUAGGGAGCAAACGGGAUUAGAUACCCGGGUAGUC